AUCCAACUGACGAGUCCCAAAUAGGAUGAAACGUACAUCCUUGAU
rfam:Schistosoma margrebowiei strain Zambia genome assembly, scaffold: SMRZ_contig0000128